rnacentral:rRNA from 1 species
UACAGAGGUCUCAAGCGUUGUUCGGAUUCAUUGGGCGUAAAGGGUGCGUAGGCGGCGCGGUAAGUCGGGUGUGAAAUCUUGGAGCUUAACUCCGAAACUGCAUUCGAUACUGCCGUGCUUGAGGACUGGAGAGGAGACUGGAAUUUACGGUGUAGCGGUGAAAUGCGUAGAUAUCGUAAGGAAGACCGGUGGCGAAGGCGGAUCUCUGGACAGUUCCUGACGCUGAGGCGCGAAGGCCCAGGGGGAGCAAAACGGGG